GCGGGAAUAGCUCCGUUGGUAGAGCACGACCUUGCCACGGUCGGGGUCGCGAGUUCGAGUCUCGUUUCCCGCUCCA
rnacentral:tRNA from 1 species